AGGAGCUUGCUUCUCCGGAUGAGUUGCGAACGGGUGAGUAACGCGUAGGUAACCUGCCUGGUAGCGGGGGAUAACUAUUGGAAACGAUAGCUAAUACCGCAUAAGAGUAGAUGUUGCAUGACAUUUGCUUAAAAGGUGCAAUUGCAUCACUACCAGAUGGACCUGCGUUGUAUUAGCUAGUUGGUGGGGUAACGGCUCACCAAGGCGACGAUACAUAGCCGACCUGAGAGGGUGAUCGGCCACACUGGGACUGAGACACGGCCCAGACUCCUACGGGAGGCAGCAGUAGGGAAUCUUCGGCAAUGGACGGAAGUCUGACCGAGCAACGCCGCGUGAGUGAAGAAGGUUUUCGGAUCGUAAAGCUCUGUUGUAAGAGAAGAACGAGUGUGAGAGUGGAAAGUUCACACUGUGACGGUAUCUUACCAGAAAGGGACGGCUAACUACGUGCCAGCAGCCGCGGUAAUACGUAGGUCCCGAGCGUUGUCCGGAUUUAUUGGGCGUAAAGCGAGCGCAGGCGGUUAGAUAAGUCUGAAGUUAAAGGCUGUGGCUUAACCAUAGUACGCUUUGGAAACUGUUUAACUUGAGUGCAAGAGGGGAGAGUGGAAUUCCAUGUGUAGCGGUGAAAUGCGUAGAUAUAUGGAGGAACACCGGUGGCGAA
rnacentral:rRNA from 1 species